rnacentral:rRNA from 1 species
GAUGAACGCUAGCGACAGGCUUAACACAUGCAAGUCGAGGGGCAGCAUAGAAGUAGCAAUACUUUGGUGGCGACCGGCGCACGGGUGAGUAACGCGUAUGCAACCUACCUAUCAGAGGGGAAUAACCCGGCGAAAGUCGGACUAAUACCGCAUAAAACAGGGGCACCGCAUGGUGAUAUUUGUUAAAGAAAUUCGCUGAUAGAUGGGCAUGCGUUCCAUUAGGUAGUUGGUGAGGUAACGGCUCACCAAGCCGACGAUGGAUAGGGGAACUGAGAGGUUGGUCCCCCACACUGGUACUGAGACACGGACCAGACUCCUACGGGAGGCAGCAGUGAGGAAUAUUGGUCAAUGGGCGGGAGCCUGAACCAGCCAAGUCGCGUGAAGGAAGAAGGAUCUAUGGUUCGUAAACUUCUUUUGCAGGGGAAUAAAGUGCAGGACGUGUCCUGUUUUGUAUGUACCCUGAGAAUAAGGAUCGGCUAACUCCGUGCCAGCAGCCGCGGAAUAC